UGCCCAGCAACUCUUACCCCCACCUCCUCGUAGUACUGGCCGGGGUACGAGUAACCUUGGGGAAUAUCGGGUAAUCAACCGGGUGGGAACUUUGGUCGUAUGCUGACAGGGAAG
rnacentral:ribozyme from 1 species